UACGAAGGGGGCUAGCGUUGCUCGGAAUCACUGGGCGUAAAGCGCACGUAGGCGGCUUUCUAAGUCAGGGGUGAAAUCCUGGAGCUCAACUCCAGAACUGCCUUUGAUACUGGAAAGCUUGAGUUCGGGAGAGGUGAGUGGAACUGCGAGUGUAGAGGUGAAAUUCGUAGAUAUUCGGAAGAACACCAGUGGCGAAGGCGACUUACUGGACAAAUACUGACGCUGAGGUGCGAAAGCGUGGGGAGCAAACAGG
rnacentral:rRNA from 1 species